rnacentral:rRNA from 1 species
UACCAGCACCCCGAGUGGUCGGGACGUUUAUUGGGCCUAAAGCAUCCGUAGCCGGUUCUACAAGUCUUCCGUUAAAUCCAACUGCUUAACAGGUGGGCUGCGGAAGAUACUAUAGAGCUAGGAGGCGGGAGAGGCAAGCGGUACUCGAUGGGUAGGGGUAAAAUCCGUUGAUCCAUUGAAGACCACCAGUGGCGAAGGCGGCUUGCCAGAACGCGCUCGACGGUGAGGGAUGAAGCUGGGGGGAGCAAACCGG